rnacentral:tRNA from 3 species
GGGCAGAUGUGCUUAGUGGCGAUAGCAACGGACUGUAAAUCCGUCACAUUAGAAACACCGUAGGUUCGACUCCUACUCUGCUCA